CGGAGGUGCAAGCGUUAUCCGGAAUCAUUGGGUUUAAAGGGUCCGCAGGCGGACUUAUAAGUCAGUGGUGAAAGCCUACAGCUUAACUGUAGAACUGCCAUUGAUACUGUAAGUCUUGAAUUCGGUCGAAGUGGGCGGAAUAUGACAUGUAGCGGUGAAAUGCUUAGAUAUGUCAUAGAACACCGAUAGCGAAGGCAGCUCACUAGGCCUGGAUUGACGCUCAUGGACGAAAGCGUGGGGAGCAAACAGGAUUAGAUACCCUGGUAGUCCACGCCGUAAACUAUCAAUACUCGUUCUCGGCGAUAUACAGUCGGGGACUAAGCGAAAGUGAUAAGUAUUGCACCUGGGGAGUACGAUCGCAAGGUUG
rnacentral:rRNA from 1 species